ensembl:lncRNA
CAGCUGCCUUGCAGACCUCUGCAGCUGUCAAGUGCAGUGUGGCUGGGAAGCAGGUUAGCAGAACUGUAUUUGGUCCGUUAUGCUCACUUCAAAAUCUAUUAUCUAUUGUUGUGGUUAAAGCAUCAUUAUUUACUGCUGCUUUUCUACUUGGUGCAAAUGCUUGUACAAGAUGGGAAAAUGAGCACAUGAAAUUUGCCAGAAUUUGGACUGUCUCAAAACAUGGACUGCCAAAGUUGUACUACAGAAUUUAGUCUCCUAAAGGUAAUUAAUACUGAACAUUUGAAACUAGUGCCACUAUUAAUUCUAUAAGAUUAUAAUAUGAUAGUAUAGAUUAUUUUGUUUAGGAG